rnacentral:rRNA from 1 species
GACGAACGCUGGCGGCGUGCCUAAUACAUGCAAGUAGAACGCUGAAGGAGGAGCUUGCUUCUCUGGAUGAGUUGCGAACGGGUGAGUAACGCGUAGGUAACCUGCCUGGUAGCGGGGGAUAACUAUUGGAAACGAUAGCUAAUACCGCAUAACAGUAGAUAUCGCAUGAUAUCUACUUGAAAGGUGCAAUUGCAUCACUACCAGAUGGACCUGCGUUGUAUUAGCUAGUUGGUGAGGUAACGGCUCACCAAGGCGACGAUACAUAGCCGACCUGAGAGGGUGAUCGGCCACACUGGGACUGAGACACGGCCCAGACUCCUACGGGAGGCAGCAGUAGGGAAUCUUCGGCAAUGGACGGAAGUCUGACCGAGCAACGCCUCGUGAGUGAAGAAGGUUUUCGGAUCGUAAAGCUCUGUUGUAAGAGAAGAACGAGUGUGAGAGUGGAAAGUUCACACUGUGACGGUAUCUUACCAGAAAGGGACGGCUAACUACGUG